rnacentral:lncRNA from 1 species
UUGAUACAGGACAGUCACUUGCCCAGUAACUUCACUGUGUUUGGCCAAGCAAGCUACAGAUUAGUGCCUAGGCUAAUCAUUGAUCCAGGUGGCAUUCAACAGUUUAAGCCUGCAAUGUAAGUAACCCCGGACUUUUUGAUCUGGGUCAGCAUACUCCGAAGCAAGGCCAGUGACACCGUGGCAGGAGAAUGCUGCUUUCCUCGGUCCCGGCAGGAAAAAUGAAGAUGCCACAUGUUCACUGGAAAUCCUGCCAGGCCAUAAAAGAAGAAGGAGGAGGAAAGCCAACCUCUGCUAGGGGGCUGCUGCUAGAUGCAGAUGGUGCAGCAACAUGGAAAGAGGUUGGCGUUUUCCACCUGGCCCGGAGGCAUGCUGGAGUAGAUGGACCAAUGGUCUGGCCUGGCCAAUUCUCGGCACCACACUCCGCCUUCUUUUAUGUGUGCACAUCUCCCAGUGACAUCAUCGCGGCACUGCUCCCCUCCAGCCUUCCCACCCGCCUCAGCUGGGUUAUGCGGACGACCUGGAGCAGGAUUCAGCUCCGCGUUUCUCAAAGGGACGUCCGUGUGGUUUUCUUGCAUGCAAUGAUCAAAGCCCCACGUGCGCCGUAGCAAGUCGGACUGACAUUCUGCAGCAACGGGUGGAGAUUCACCCCGGGAAUAAAUGUGAACAGUCCCUGGGCCCCUCAAUCCAGCACUGUAGAAGAGUCAAAUAAAGAGGAGGCGUUAAAUCAGGGCAUGUAGAGCCACUUGGAACGGGGCUGGGACCCGCAGUGCUGCUUUGGGAGGUGGUUGAUGAUAGUAUGGGGCUCACUCCUUCCCUGCCUCCCUCCAACGGUCACAAGGUCGCAGACGACAGGAGUUUGGAGGUUUCUGGCGAGCACAACCGUGGCACUGAACAGCCAAGGGGACCCAUGGGGAAUGCUGGCAUUGCCCACCGGUUAGGCACUGCACAAUGGAAGCCAUUUGCAGAGCAUAACAACAACUUUAUGGAACCCACUAAUUUACAGGCACUAAUUUAUUCCUAUGUGCUAGCAGAUGAGAUUUUUUUUCCAUGAACCAACUUCAGUUAGAGACGUAUCUCUUUAGAGAGCAGUCCUGUAACACGCCCUGCCGAGGCGGGGCCAGAAGUUACUUCCUACCUGUGUGACAUGAACUCAAUGGAUACAAUGCUCUACCUUGGUUGCAUUACAGAAUCAAUGGAUACCUAGUAUAAAAAGCCCCUUUCCAGAAACUGCCUGGCUGAGCCCAAAUAUACAUUCCAUUUGCCGUUUAGUGCCCCAGGAGGGAGGCAGCUGUGAGUUAAUUCAGCCUGAGCAUGUUCUCCGAUCGCUUCCCAAGUUUAUGAGAACCAUAUAUUUUAUUUCAAAGUGACUGAGGAAUAAUCAAUACACACUCCCCCAAAAGAAUAAGAGACACAGCUAAGUCAAACAAGGGCAAGUGUCUGCCUGGGCAGCGCGGAUUCACUUCUGGCUGGGUAAUAAAUAAACGUCAUAACCAAAAGCAAACUAUAAUCAUUUCUUCGCCCCAAACAAAAUAAGCUGCAAAGUGAAGUGGGUAAGACUUAGUACCAAAUAGUAGGAGCUGUGCCCCAGGUUAGAAGGCAGCAGAAUAAUGGGAGUGUUGCUGUAAGCAGCCAGCAUUUGGUGUUAUG